UUUUCCCUUCAGCCAAGCUGACAUUUAUUCUGAUUGCAGGAAUUGGAACAUGGUGAAUUUGUACGAAUACGGACAGUGCACUUGAAUGGAAAACCCCGUGUAUUCACGCUGAAACAGGACCUCCACUAUUGGCCUACUUGGGAAGUAAACUUUGACCCAGAGACCGCAACAUGGCGUCGUCGAGUAAUUAAAGCAUUGGAUUCUGCGAGAGUCUGAUGUUUAUUGCACAUAAGAAAGCUCAUUUUCUUCAUUGGAGAUCCAUUCUUUUGAGGAAUGAUCAUAUGGGGUGAGAACUGCAAGUCAACCCACUAGCUGGAAAUUCAAUUUUAGGAAUAUUUCACGAAACCCCUGAGGUUUGUUGCAGAAAACCCAGUUGAACUUUAUAAAUCAGAGAAAAUCCUCAUGAAUUUUCAAAGGUAUACUAAAGCCCCUUGAACUUUAUAAACGAUGUUGAUUGGUAGAGUAAUAAGUUUGGCUUAUGACAAAUCAACGUUUGUGACUACAAAUUCGACUUUCAUGUGGGAGAAGACGACCACAAUUCGGUUUCAUUUUGAGUAUUCUUAUUCUACAUGCUCACGCCAUUUACGAGGUUUUCCAAUAUUUCUUAAGGGUUUUCUCUAUUUAUAAAGUCUGUGGUUUCUUUUGCAAAUCAUGGGGGUUUUGUGAAAGUUGUCGAUUUUCUAUUUUGCAAAUUCAUUUGUUUUUCUCUUCGAAAUCACAUGGUAGGACCCGUAUACCGUGGUGACAAACUAACAUGCCAUGCCUUCCCAAACCGUGGAGAUUUUGACUCUGAUUUGGAUUCUUUCUGCGACGCUCACAUACUCACAUGGAUCCUUGAUUCCUUUGCUGAGAGAAGAAAUAUAUUCUCUUGUCUGUCUUCUAUUUUAGGCAUAUGAUUGAUGCCUGAUCCAUUUACUUGUUUUUGUAAAUUUAAAAAUACUCUUCGAAGCAAAAACCCAUGUGAAUGGAUGUGUGGGCAUGAGCGUGGUGUGAAGACCUGAAAGACUCUUCAGGAUGUUAAGAUUGUUUACUAAACGCUAGAAAUUUUAUACUGUUUAUUCCUUUAAUGUUUUUCAUUAAUUGCAAUCCAAUAUAGGCAUGAUUACAGAAUAUUAUGUACCUCUUAGCUGUUAGCUGAAAAUCCUUUGAUUAUGUUUGCAAGAUGACAAUUCUUGCUGCUCCCUUCGUAGCGUA